rnacentral:rRNA from 1 species
GACGAACGCUGGCGGCGUGCUUAACACAUGCAAGUGGAGCGACGAACCAGGGCUUGCCCUGGGGCAAAGCCGCGAACGGGUGAGUAACACGUGGGUAACCUGCCCUGUUGACUGGGACAACCCGAGGAAACUCGGGCUAAUACCAGAUGUGCUCCCGCCACAUCAGUGGCGUGAGGAAAGGAAGCUUCGGCCUCCGCAACGGGAUGGGCCCGCGGCCCAUUAGCUCGUUGGUGGGGUAACGGCCCACCAAGGCUGCGAUGGGUAGCUGGUCUGAGAGGACGAUCAGCCACACUGGGACUGAGACACGGCCCAGACUCCUACGGGAGGCAGCAGUGGGGAAUCUUGCGCAAUGCGCGAAAGCGUGACGCAGCAACGCCGCGUGAGGGAAGAAGGCCUUCGGGUUGUAAACCUCUUUCAGUUGGGACGAAGCCUCGCCGGUUAAUAGCCGGCCGAGGUGACGGUACCUUCAGAAGAAGCCCCGGCUAACUACGUGCCAGCAGCCGCGGUAACAC